UACGAAGGGGACUAGCGUUGUUCGGAAUUACUGGGCGUAAAGCGCACGUAGGCGGAUUGGUAAGUCAGGGGGGAAAUCCCGGGGCUCAACCUCGGAACUGCCUUUGAUACUGCAAAUCUCGAGUCCGAUAGAGGUGGGUGGAAUUCCUAGUGUAGAGGUGAAAUUCGUAGAUAUUAGGAAGACCACCGGUGGCGAAGGCGGCCCACUGGAUCGGUACGUACGCUGAGGUGCGAAAGGGUGGGGAGCAAACAGG
rnacentral:rRNA from 1 species